GCCGUAGCUCAGCGAUAGAGCAUCUGCUUUGAAUGCAGAAUGUCUCAAGUUCAAUCCCCAGCAUCUCCC